UAUCCAGAAACAGUUAGUUUCUAUUAUUUGAACACAAUUGUUGAGUCAUUAUAUUGUCGGAUAUAAAGUAAAAAUUCGACAAAAAUUAAAAUUAAUUAGCUUAACACACCACCUUUUUACAAACUUAACAAUGACUCGGUACGUAUUAUAAUAUAUACAAUACAAAUACUGUGUAUAAAUGCAUGCAAUAUUGGCGAAUAAUAUAAUAUAUUCACGUUAACCAACAUAUAACGCGCACACAAUAUGCUAAAAAGUUUCCCUGUGCCUGUAUUGGAACACUGGCUGGCGUACACACACACACACACUGACAAAAAACACGCUACAUCACACCCGACUAGUGUUUGACUCUCUAUUGUAAUGGAUUGUGUGUUAUAACGGGAGUGUGUUCGAAAUGUUGCCAUCAAACAAACCGAAACAUAGUACGCAGGAAAAGCGCUAGAUCUGGCAAGUGUGUGCAGGUUAGUCAUUCUCGCAUGUGUCACAAUUCGGCACGUGCGCCAUAUUUGCAUAAAAAGUUACCACAGAAAAAAAAAAUGUAUACAUAUAUAUAUACACAAUGCUGGAGUGAAAACUUAGUGCGUAACGCGUAUUUUUCUGUGGUAGACGAUAACAGUUCGGUAUUGAAUUUUGUGACCACGCCGAUUAUGAAUCAGAGGGCGAACAAUCAUAGCCUAAACUGAAUAUUAAUCGUUUUGUAGAUUGUAAACCGAGAAUUGUCAGUCGGAUCUAACGCUCAACUGUAGUCGUUUUUUGAAACGAGAGAUUUCCUAUUGAAGAAUCGCGUUGACUUUCCCGGAAAAAAAAAACCUUUUUUUUUAACGAAUUUUAAAGUCGUUUAAUCCGAGUAUAAUCAACUAAAU
rnacentral:lncRNA from 1 species